UACGUAGGGUGCGAGCGUUGUCCGGAAUUACUGGGCGUAAAGAGCUCGUAGGUGGUUUGUCGCGUUGUCCGUGAAAACUCACAACUCAAUUGUGGGCGUGCGGGCGAUACGGGCAGACUGGAGUACUGCAGGGGAGACUGGAAUUCCUGGUGUAGCGGUGGAAUGCGCAGAUAUCGGGAGGAACACCAGUGGCGAAGGCGGCACUCUGGGCCAGUAUUGACGCUGAGGAGCGAAAGCGUGGGGAGCGAACAGG
rnacentral:rRNA from 1 species